UGUUAAUCUUUUUUCAGCAUUGUUGGAAAUCCCCUUGUUUGUGCAACUGGAAAAGAACCAAACUGUCGUGGCAUGAGUCAAUGUCCAUGAACUUAAAUGCCACUGAAGGUAAGAAUAAGAUCUCUCAAGAGUUUCAUCUUUUUUCGAAUUAAUUGUGAAAUUGUGUCAUUAUUUUUAUGCUGACAUAAAUAAUGGAUGUCUCUGCCUCAUAGUUCUCAGUUUUGGCCUUGUUCUUUGGUGGAAGCACAAGCACAAUCAAAAAACAUUCUUUGAUGUUAAAGGUACUUUCCAAUUAGUAGCAUAGUUAGCAUUUUCUUCUUCUUUAAUACUAUAAUAGUUCCUUCAAUUCAUGUACAGCUAGGAGUCUGUUACUUAUCCACUGACUUCCCUCACGCCCACUUCUUAAGGGCUGAAGCGGAAGAGCAACCAGAGAUAUCCAAGGCUUAUUCCGUCUCUGCUGUCCCUUUCUUUGUCUUCUUCAAGCACUAGUCACAUGUAAAUACAACUUAUUUGUGAUCUGAAGCCCUUGAAAAUGAGUUCGAACAACAUGCAUCUCUGAGGUUUGUACUUGUACUCUUUUCAAUUUUAAUAUUAAUUAUUUUUAGCCUUUUGUAUUUAUUUCUUUAUUGCUUUUCAGUAGCUGAAAUAGGAAAUAUGUAAUCUGCAGAUUCAAAAAAGAAUAGAAGAAAUGGUUAGUGCUAGU